AGUUAUAUGCUUGUCUCAAAGAUUAAGCCAUGCAUGUCUCAGUGCAAGCCGUAUUAAGGCGAUACCGCGAAUGGCUCAAUAUAUCAGUUUUGGUUCCUUAGAUCUUACUCAGUUACUUGGAUAACUGUGGUAAUUCUAGAGCUAAUACAUGCAAUCAGAACUCUGACCAGUGAUGGGAUGAGUGCUUUUAUUAGAUCAAAACCAAUCGACGGAGGGCCUCGCGUCCGAAGUCGUUAAUUUUGAUGAAUCUGGAUAACUUUUGCAGAUCGCAUGGUCCAGUACCGGCGACGCAUCUUUCAAAUGUCUGCCUUAUCAACUUUCGAUGGUAGUUUCUGCGACUACCAUGGUUGUCACGGGUAACGGGGAAUCAGGGUUCGAUUCCGGAGAGGGAGCCUGAGAAACGGCUACCACAUCCAAGGAAGGCAGCAGGCGCGCAAAUUACCCACUCCCGGCACGGGGAGGUAGUGACGAAAAAUAACGAUACGGGACUCUUACGAGGCCUCGUAAUCGGAAUGAGUACACUUUAAAUAUUUUAACGAGGAACAAUUGGAGGGCAAGUCUGGUGCCAGCAGCCGCGGUAAUUCCAGCUCCAAUAGCGUAUACUAAARUUGUUGCGGUUAAAAAGCUCGUAGUUGCAUUUGUGCGCCGCGCUGUCGGUGCACCGCAUCCGCGGUGAUACUGACACGUCUGCGGAGCAUAUCGUUCGGUGGUCCGGCGGUAAAACGUCGUAUCAAUAUCCAAUAUCCUAUCGCGGUGCUCUUCGGUGAGUGUCGAGAUGGGCCGACAAUUUUACUUUGAACAAAUUAGAGUGCUCAAAGCGGGCUCAAAAUGCCGCUUGAAUAUUUCGUGCAUGGAAUAAUAGAAUAUGAUCUCGGUUCUAUUUUGUUGGUUUUCAGAACUCCGAGGUAAUGAUUAAUAGGGAUAACUGGGGGCAUUCGUAUUGCGACGUUAGAGGUGAAAUUCUUGGAUCGUCGCAAGACGAACAUCAGCGAAAGCAUUUGCCAAAGGUGUUUUCAUCAAUCAAGAACGAAAGUUAGAGGUUCGAAGGCGAUUAGAUACCGCCCUAGUUCUAACCGUAAAUAUGUCAUCUAGCGAUCCGCCGACGUUACUACAAUGGCUCGGCGGGCAGCUUCCGGGAAACCAAAGAUUUUGGACUCCGGGGGGAGUAUGGUUGCAAAGCUGAAACUUAAAGGAAUUGACGGAAGGGCACCACCAGGAGUGGAGCCUGCGGCUUAAUUUGACUCAACACGGGAAAUCUCACCAGGCCCGGACACCGGAAGGAUUGACAGAUUAAUAGCUCUUUCUUGAUUCGGUGGGUGGUGGUGCAUGGCCGUUCUUAGUUGGUGGAGCGAUUUGUCUGGUUAAUUCCGGUAACGAACGAGACUCUAGCCUGCUAAAUAGGCGUCGUCAUUUAGGUGUGCGCGGCUCUGUCGCGCAACUCACUGGCGACGUAUUAAAAUUCUUCUUAGAGGGACCGGCGGCUUCGAGCCGCACGAGAUUGAGCAAUAACAGGUCUGUGAUGCCCUUAGAUGUCCUGGGCCGCACGCGCGCUACACUGAAGGAAUCAGCAUGUUCUCCCUGGCCUAGAGGCCCGGGCAACCCGUUGAAACUCCUUCGUGCUGGGGAUUGGGGUUUGCAAUUAUCCCCCAUAAACGAGGAAUUCCUAGUAAGCGCGAGUCAUAAGCUCGCGUUGAUUACGUCCCUGCCCUUUGUACACACCGCCCGUCGCUACUACCGAUUGAAUGAUUUAGUGAGGUCUUCGGACCGACACGCGGUGGCUUCACGGCCGUCGGCGUUGCUGGGAAGUUGACCAAAC
rnacentral:rRNA from 1 species